rnacentral:rRNA from 1 species
GCUUUACUGUAGCCUGGAAUUGGGUUCGGGCUUUAACUGCGCAGGAUAGGUGGGAGGCUAUGAUGUAUUCCUUGUGGGGAAUGCGGAGCCAACGGUGAGAUACCACUCUGUUAAGGCUAGAAUUCUAACUUGUGCCCGUUAUCCGGGACGAGAACAGUUUCAGGUGGGCAGUUUGACUGGGGCGGUCGCCUCCUAAAUGGUAACGGAGGCGCGCAAAGGUUCUCUCAGGCUGGUUGGAAAUCAGCCGUAGAGUGUAAAAGCACAAGAGAGCUUGACUGUGAGACUAACACGUCAAACAGGGACGAAAGUCGGCUUUAGUGAUCCGACGGCGCUGCGUGGAAAGGCCGUCGCUAAACGGAUAAAAGUUA